rnacentral:rRNA from 1 species
UACGUAGGGGGCAAGCGUUGUCCGGAUUUAUUGGGCGUAAAGAGCGUGUAGGCGGCUUGGAAGGUCAGCUGUGAAAACUCGAGGCUCAACCUCGAGACGUCGGUUGAAACCACCUGGCUAGAGUCCGGAAGAGGAGAGUGGAAUUCCCGGUGUAGCGGUGAAAUGCGCAGAUAUCGGGAAGAACACCCGUGGCGAAGGCGGCUCUCUGGGACGGUACUGACGCUGAGGCGCGAAAGCCAGGGGAGCAAACGGG